UAUUAUUAUCUUCAAGAAAUGUUUGCAGCCGCACAUUAACCAUUUUCUCUAGCAGUUUUCCCAAGCAAGACGUUAAACUAAUUGGGCGAUAACUUUGUGCCAGCAACGGAUCUUUUCCAGGUUUCGGUAUAGGAAUGACAACGGCCUGUUUCCAUUCCGAGGGGAGUACAGUGAUGAAACAUCUGGUUGUGGAUUUCGUCUUCUCCCGGUGAACAUGACUUGGUGUUACGGAUAGCGAUAUUCAACUCUUCUAAGACGACCACCACGGAACCAUUUUUGUUUUAUUGCCAGGUUUGGAUUUUGGAAUACUGGCGUUCGCAGCGUCUAAUAUAGCAGAUGUAAGAGUUUUUAAACUUAAGCU